CUGCCUUUGUGGUUCAGUCCAAACCCCACUGUCCCCAACAUUCCCCGGUUCCCCCACUCUGUGACAUCACAGACAGCCUCCUGUCCACUCUGCCAGCUGCAGGUGAAUGAGACUCAUAGGUUAGACCUAAGGGUGCUGUGGGGUCCCUAGAGACCUGAAACUCACAGCCCAGUGGGGACAGCCCAAGGGCCCUUUUCUUUGGCUCCUGCUUCCCUCUAGAGGCGGACACUGGUAAUGCAAGAAACACCACACCCACCCCUACUCUGUCCCAGCCAGCAUCUCAGUGAUAUUAAACGCCUACUGUGUACCGCAUACCCUGCAAAGCACUUGACAUCUUUAUGUCACCAAAUCCUUACAACGGCAUUCUGCGGGUAGGUUUCACCAUACCACUGCACAGACUGGAAAACUGAGGUUCAAGGAAGCUAAACGGCCCGAAAUUACACAGCAAGGUGCAACAGGAAUUAAGAACUGAAGUCCAUCUAAGUAAAAAAGGAGUGUGCUCUUAACUGUUAUGCUGUUCUGCCAGGCUUCAGAUGGAGCCUUUCCAUUUAAAAACCACUUACCAUCAACUCUUGGAGAUCAAGGUGGUUCUGAACAUCUCAUUCUGGAAUUGUAUAGACGGAAUAAAAUCUGGCUUCAGAUAAAACUACAUUAAAAUCCCAGCUGUUCCUCUUGGCUGCCACAGCUGAGCAAGUCACCUUUCUUAGGCUCAAUUCCCUCCAUCUGGAAAAUCAGACAAAGUCCUGCCUUGCAAGGUGGAGAGGAAAAUGAAAUGAGCUCAGCAAUGUCAAAGGACCUGCCCAAAUGCUCAAUGAAUGUCAGUGUUCUGUUUCUAUUCCCAUAACUUUCUGACAUUAAAGAAAAAAAAAAGCCUGUUCAUGGAAGGGAGAACAGGGUGAAGGAUUGAGCGUACCAUUGUCCAACAGUCAGACAAUGUUCCUGUAUUUAUUCAAUCAGUAUGGAGAGCAUACGCGUUCUGCACACAGCCCGGUGCUGCAUCCUGGGACCCGAAGGUGGGCUGGACCCACCCCUGCCUCCUCGAGAGUGAGGCUCUGUUGCUCUUGUCCACGGCAGUAUCCCCAGCACCACAGUCAGUGCUUGGCACCAGUAGGUCCUCAAAAAGUAUAUGCUGAACAAAUUUUUUUAAUCACUGAUUUUUUGUAGGCAAAUAAACAGGCAGUGAAAAUACAGUCCAUUCAACAAAUAUUACUGAGCAUCCACUGUGGUUUAGGCAGACACUGGAAUGACAGUCAGGUCCAGGACACAGGGAAGCCCAGGGGACAAGGGAACCAUAAAGGAAAUGCCUCAAUUCAUCCCAGGUUUAAGAGAUGGCUUCCUGGCUGGGUAUGGUGGCUCACACCUGUAACCCCAGCAACUUGGGAGACAGAGGCGGGCAGAUCACUUGAGAUCGGGAAUUCAAGACCAGCCUGACCAACAUGGCACAACUCUGUCUCUACUAAAAAUACAAAAAUUAGCUGGGUGUGAUGGUGUGCACCUAUAAUCCCAGCUACUCAGGAGGCUGAGGCAAAAGAAUCGCUUAAGCCCAAAGGGUGGAGGAUGGUUGAAGUGAGCCAAGAUCGCACCACUGCACUCCAGCCUGGGUGAUACAGUGAGACUCUGUCUCAAAAAAAAAAAAAAAAAAAGGAAUGGCUUCUUGAAGGAAGUGACACCUGAGCUGUCUUCAAGUGUGAUGAGGAGAGGACAUGGAGGGGCAGGUUUCAGCUUGUGCAGAGGCACAGGGAUGGAACAGUAAGAAAAAGUCUGGAGCACAGCCAGCAGCUCCUAUGGCCGAAGAGUAGUGACUGAGUUGGAAUGAACGGAGCUGGCAAAGUCGACAGGGGCAGAUCCUCAGACAAGUUCGAGCAGCAGAACAGGGGAGCCACUGAGGGGUUAAGGCAGAGGAGGAGUGACCUAACAGGAUUUGCACCAGGGGCAGAUCUUCUGGUUGCAGAUGAGCCACCAGAGAGGCUAGUGGGAAAGCAGUGGUCAGGAUCCAAAGGCAGGAGGCGCUAGUGGUGAGGGCAAUGGCAACGGAGGGUGGCUGACAAUGGAGAUAUUUAUGGGAUAGAUUCAAAAGGCCUUGAUGAAUGUGAGCGGAGGGGAGGUAAGGGGUGCCCCAUUUCUAGCUGCAGACACAAAAUGAAUAGUGGUACCUGUCCCCAAAAUAGGAAACAUGAGAGGAGGAAAAGCAAGUUUGGGAUGGAGAGGGUGGAGAAGAGAGGUGGUCCCAUCAGAAGGCAGCCAAAAGCAACCCUAUAAGUCAUCCAUAAAGCCAUCCAUCAGCUUGGCAGGUGGAUGAGGCAGGUGGUGUCUUACUUGUUGUGACAUUCCUUGCUGCUCCCCGGUGACAGCACCUGCUUGGACCCUAGACCAAAGUGAGAUACAUACAGGUUCAUCCAACCAUGCCAUAAAUGCUGUUAACCACCUGUCCUACACCCUGCACUGGGGACCCAGCAGUGAACACAGGAGACUCCCUGCCUUCCUGGGUUUACUAAUGGGAAAGUGAGUACGUGCUCAUAAAUAAAUUCUAGGCUACUUCUGAACAUGACAAGGGCUGCAGAGAAGCAUGAGGUGGGGAAGGGAAAUAGAGAGUGCUGGGAGCAGGGAGGAGGCUUAAACAGAGGGAAUAAACAGAGAGAAUUAAAUAGAGUAAAUAGGCCAGAGAAGGCCUCACUAGAAAAAGUGUUCAUGGCCAGGCAUGGUGGCUCACGCCUGUAAUCCUUGCAACUUGGGAGGCCGAGGCAGGCAGAUUUCCUGAGGUCAGGAGUUUGAGACCAGCCUGGCCAACAUGGUGAAACCCCGUCUCUACUAAAAACACAAAAAUUAGCCGGGCAUGGUGGUGCGCACCUGUAAUCCCAGCUACUCAGGAGGCUAAGGAAUAAGAAUCGCCUGAACCCCAAAGGCAGAGGUUAGUGAGCUGAGAUCGCCCCACUGCCCUCCAGCCUGGGCAAUAGAGUGAUACUCCAUUCAAAAAAAAAAAAAAAAAGAUGAAGUGUUCUUUAAGCAAAGGCUUGAAACAAGUGAGAGAAUGAGUCUUGUGGAUUUCUAGGGGAAGAGCGUUCCAGCAGAAAUGCAAACAGUGGUGUGUUUGGUGUGGCGGGAAAGGGGUGAAGGGUAAAGUAGCAGGAGACAGUGAGGGACAAGUGGAUAAAUGGUUAGAUUAUGAGUUUUUUCAAGACAGGCCCAGGGAAAGACUUUUCUUUUAUUCAACAUGAUACUGGAAGCCACUGGGAGGUCUGGGCAGAGGUGUGACAUGAUCUAAUGUCUGUAGGAGGAGGAUUCAUCUGUGUUGGUGCUUAAUGCUGAUGCUUAGGAGCCGUUGCAAUAAUCCAAGUAGGAGAUGCUGGUGACUGAGGCUGGAGAGGAGCACUGGACGGGUGGGAACUCACUACCCAAGGAUGAGGCCAUGGAGUGAACCCAGUGUGCUGUGAUCGACACACGACCACCGAUGAUGGAAAUUUCCAGAGUGGGGCUUUGGCCACAGAGAAAGGGGAGCAACAGCAGAUGGCCAGAGCCUGGAAAAGAGAAAGGAGGUUGGGAAUAACAUAGACUUACAACCUUCGGUCAUCAGAGCUGGGAGAAUCCUUGGAAAGAUAGAUGACGCAGCCCACUGACUUCCUGUUGCAGAUGCGGGGGGCCUCAGUAUGGGCUAGCCCAAAGCCACACAGCAAGUUAGUGGCAGUGCCAGGACUGGGACCAGCAAAGCUGGGCUUCAUCAUCAUGCUCCUGUGGGACCUGGGCCCAGCUGGAAUAAUGGAGCCAACAAACCAUAUGGGAAGACAAUGAGCACAGAAAGUACUUUGGGGUACCUCCCAUCAGAGCGGCCAGUUUACAGACAAUUAAACACUCAUUACUCCAAGGUGGUAUUACUGUUCCCAUUUUCCAGAUAAGAAAGGGAGGCCAGUGGCUGGGCAAAGUGACUCAUGCCUGUAAUUCCAGCACUUUGGGAGGCUGAGGCAGAAGGAUCUCUUGAGGCGAAGAGUUUAAGACCAGCCUGGGCAGAAUAGCAAGAUCCGGUCUCUACAAAAAGUUUAAAAAAAAAAAAAUUAGCCAGAUACGGUGUCACACACCUGUAGUCCCAGCUACUCAGGAAGCUGAGGCAAGAGGAUCACUUGAGCCUAGGAGUUCGAGGCUGCAGUGAGCUAUGAUUUUGCCACUUCACUCCUGCCUGGGCUACAAAGCAAGACCCUGUCUCAAAAAAUAAAUAAAUAAAAUAAAAUAAAGUGAGGCACAAAGAGAUUACAGAACCAACCCAAGAGCACACAUACACCUAGAGAGAAGGCAAAUCUGACCCUUAAACACAAGCUUGUCUGUGUGGGCUGCCGCAUCUCCUGGGGUUCUGCUGCCAUAGGACCUGGCAAAGCAGAGAUUCACGUUUUCCAGCUACAGUCUUAAGUUCAUCUAGAAAACAACCCUGCCCAGAGAACUGUGCUGGACCUCCAACAUCUGUGGUUCAAGAAGGCAACGCUACAGGGAAAGACUGGCAGAGUGGAGGCUCCAUGUCCUUUCCACAGGUAGGAGAAAUGUGCACAGUUGAGGAAAGACUGACCCUCAGAGUGGUGGGCCCAGGCAGGUGGGCCUGGAACUGCUGGCCACAGGGAGCUACAGCAGGUCAGAGAGAGGGGAAGGGCCCACUAUGACCCAGCGCUUAAAUAACAAUGGGUUUCUGGGAUUGGAGCUGCAGAGCCAGGAGCCCCAGUGCCCUUUCCUCCUCCCACCGCGCACCAAAACAUGGGGUCCAAGAUCUUCUGUUGUUGCCGCAAGACCAGCGAGGGGUCUUCCACCACUGUUGGCUUCCACAAUCCAAGAAUGUUCGAACAGCAUCAUCCACGGUCCUUCAAUCUGAACACAAAUUCUCUCCACAGUGCUGUACCAAAAAGACAUCCACGCCUCCCCUAUGACAACCGCAUGAUGCUCAAGGCGUGCAUCCUUAGGAGGCCAUGAGCAUUCUAGCCGGCGGCACCCACGUGGUCCCUGCGGCUGCACAGCUGCUGGGCUUCCAUGAGGAAGAGGGCAGUGGACAAGAGUCAUGAAGACUGAUUCAGAAACUCCCCUGCAGGAGGAGAAGACGUCUGAGCCAUCCCUGUGCCACCACCAAGAGUCACUCCAGCUUCUGAAAAAGCCACCGUGGGGGGGAGCCGCCUCCAAUUAAAGUCCUUGGUCACAUCAGAGGAAGUGUCUCUCCUCCUUCCCCCUUUGCCAGCCCUACCUCUGAGAUUCCCAAAAACAUGGAGCAAUUAGACCCUGGCACCUCUUGGAAAGAAAUGUGGUUUUGUCAUUUUAACGCAUUAACACAUUUGUUUCAGUCACUCCUAACCAACCUAACAGGGAAGUGCUAUAUUAGGAGAGGCCAGUUUGUAUAACAGGCCACUGUCAUAAACGUCCAGAGCUUCAGGGCACAAUUCUGCUUGCCUACUGUGCGACUCCAUUUGACGCUCAGGGCCAUAGGGAACAGCAGGGCAUGUUGUGAAAAACUCUACAAACAGCAGCCCUAGAGUUAUGCAAUGCGUAGCCAGUGCUGAUACGCAGCACCGCUUGUGCUGAAACACGGAGUAUGCAACUGUGAGUAAUAUGCAGAAGACCCCACAUGGUUUCCACAUUAGCCAGGGAGCCAGGCAUGGAAGUGUAUCACUCUGACAUAAUAGGGCAAAAACUUGGAAAGCAAAAUGACAAAGGAGCAUUUUGCAACUGACUCGGGGAUUAAUGGAAGGCUUCCUGGAGGCGAUGGUGCUUGAAGGGAAGUUAGCUAAAAGGAGAAGGGAUGAUAUUCCAGAAGGAGGGAAUACAAUCAGCAAAGUUGGAAAAUAGGGGCACGACCUGGGAGGGCAUGAGGGUAGCAAAGUACCAAGUCUAGAAUGACUCAAGUGAAAACCUGAGCCAGGGUUUGGUGGGAGGUGAAGUGGGCAGAGCAUCAAGAGCUUUGUAUCCAGGGAAAAGGAGCUGAACUCUAUCUUGAAAAUAAUGGGAAGCCACAGGUGAGUUUUAAGCAACAAAGUGACACAGCCUGAUUUCCAACUUUUGUACUAUGAACAGUGCCUUAGUCUGUUCAGACUACUAAAAUAAGAUACCAUAACCGGGUGACUUACAAACAACAGAAGUUUAUUUCUCACAGUUUUGGAGGCUGGGAAGUCCAAGAUCAAAACUCCAGCAGCAUCAGUGUCUGGUGAGGGCCUGUUCCUCAUAGAGGGCGCUUCUUGCUGUGUUCUCACAUAGCAGAAGGGGCAAGGGGUCUCUCUCAGGCUCUUUCAUAAGGGCACUAAUCUCAAUCGUGAGGGCUCUGCUCUCAUGACCUAAUCCUCCUAAACCUCCCAAAGACCACAAUUCUUAUACCAUCACCUUGGGAGUUAAGAUUUCAACACAUGAAUUUGGGGGAACAUUAACAUUCAGACCAUAACAAACAAGGCGAGUUGGAAGACAACACUUUUUUUGUUUGUUUGUCUGUUUGUCUGAGACGGAGUCUUGCUCUGUCACCCAGCCUGGAGGGCAGUGGCAUGAUCUUGGCUGGCUGCAACCUCCACCUCCCAGGUUCAAGGAUUCUCCUGCCUCAGCCUCCCAAGUAGCUACAGGAAAGUGCCACCACACCCAGCUAAUUUUUUUUUUUAAUUUUUUUUUUGAGACGGAGUUUCUCUUUCGUUGCCCAGGCUGGAGUGCAAUGGCACACUUUCGGCUCACAGCAACCUCUGCCUCCCGGGUUCAAGCGAUUCUCCUGCCUCAGCCUCCUGAGUAGCUGGGAUUACAGGCACCCUCCACCAUGCCUGGCUAAUUUUGUAUUUUUAGUAGAGACAGGGUUUCUCCAUGUUGAUCAGGCUGGUCUCCAACUCCUGACCUCAGGUGAUCCGCCCGCCUCAGCCUCCCAAAACGCUGGGAUUACAGGCGUGAGCUACCGCGCCCGGCCUAAUUUUUGUAUUUUUAGUAGAGACGGGGUUUUGCCAUUUUGUUCAGGCUGGUCUUAAACUCCUGACCUCAGGUGAUCCGCCCAUCUCAACCUCCCAAAGUCCUGGGAUUACAGGCGUGAGCCACUACACCCGGCCAGAAGACAAUUUAUUAAUUAGCACUCCUUAUGCCUUCCCCACCUCAGAAAAGAGAAGAAUAAAGGAAUAUGAUGUCUAUGCCAUGGCAAUGUGGAGUAAAAUUCAUACCUUCAAUGAAAAGCCCAUCCUGGCUAUAAUGUGAAGGAUGGAUUUUGUUUUGUUUUGUUUUGUUUUUUGAGACGGAGUCUCGCUCUGUCAUCCAGGCUGGAGUGCAGUGGUGCGAUCUCAGCUCACUGCAACCUCCACCUCUCGGGUUCAAGCGAUUCUCCUGCCUCAGCCUCCCAAGUAGCUAGGACUACAGGCGCAUGCCACCACGAUUUGAGUGUAAUAGUAAUCACAAUAGACAGCCUGGUUCCUUGCUUACUCUGUGCCAGAUCCUCUUCCAAGUGCUUCAUAAAUAUCAACCCAAUCAGCACAAUAACCCAACAAGGUUAGAACUGUUACUACCUGAUUUUACAGUUUAACUCAAGAAACCCAACUGCAGAGUCCACACUCUUAACAACUUGGUUAUGCGGCCCCUCGAUAAUGGUAGAAUGACAUUCAGUUAUUACUCUGGACCCCAAAUUUACUGUUCAUCGCCUGCUCUUCAAAAAUGGAGCUGGCCCUUUAAAUAUUUUUCUUUUGGUAGUUGGUGCAAUGCUAGGCUCUGUCAGGAGGGGGAGCUAGAGACAUUGGAGGAGGAAGAGGCCUUCCUUUCUGGUUGUGCUGGGCUCAUCUUAACAGCACAGAGCUCACAGCUUCUCCAACAUCACCCUCCCGCAGUGCAGGCAACUUUUCCAGAACAGGAAUCCUGCAGAGGAUGGUGGUCAGUAGCACUUGGCAACUAGCAGCUUCUCCUAGUGCCCCCACAAAUAGGUGUGCCUCUAAUCAGACACUGUUCCAUGACAGCUUUCCCUGGCACCCAAGGGCAGACUUCUAGAACAUUCUCCCAGACUUCUCUGCCAUUGUGAGGCACAGCCAUGCCCUUCCCAGCAACAUCUGGAUCUCAGCUGGGGAUAGAGCCUGGGGGUGUUCUUUCUUAGUUCUAGGGGUGCUGGCUGCUCCUUAUGUCCAUUAUUCCUAUAUUCUUUAAAGCUCUCCUGACUUCUUACCACUCCUUCAUUACUCCAAUCCCCUGUUCUAGUUAGUACUUAUAUUAAUCUUCUCAUAUUCAAAUUGUUAUGUGGUUUCUGUCUCCCAAGUGGAUCAUGACUAAUGCAGAAAUCAAAUUAAGAGGCUGGGCUUAUGUCUGUGGCCCCAGAAAUACAGGAGGCAGAGGCAGGAGUAUCACUUGAGGCCAGGAGUUUGAGAUCAGCCUGGGCAACACAGCAAGACCCGAUCUCUACCAAAACAAAACAAAACAAAUUAAGCGACUGCCUAGGCAAUCAGGACAGACAGUGAUACAGGCCUAAAGUAGGGCAGCAGCAGUCAGGAUGAAUAAGAGGACCUUGAGUCAUAUUUCUCAGGCAAAGCUGGCCAAUUCUAACUCAGAACCAUACAGGAAAGAAGAUUCUAGGGAAUGAGGUCCUUGUGGUAUUGAGGCCAAGUUGACAACAACAGCAGAUCACUUAAUUUUGGGCUAUUCCAAGCUGGAGGGGCCUAUGGGACAUCCAGAUGACCAUAUUAAGAAGGUUGGCAAUAUUUAGCAGGAAAAGGUAAAAGAACUAUAGCUGGAAGGAAGCAGAGAGGCCUACAACAUGUGUGUGGAGUUGUCAGCUCACUGCAUCGUGGCACCUCUUCCCCUGCCCAUUCUCAUACUGUAUCCCCUGGACCCACCCUCUUACCCAGAUUCCCCUUGUCCUAUGCAUUCCUCACCUCCUCUCAUGCGAAGGUCCCACUUUCCUUCCCCAGCAAACCCCAUAUUCCUUAUUUCUUGGACUGCUUUCUGCAACAACUGUAGCAGGUGCUUUACACAAAAAAGAUGCUCCUUAAAUGUCACUUCCUGCUUUGAUAAUUUAGAAACUCCUUCACAGAAGGGAUGCAAAGAAGCCUCCAUCCUGUGACUUUUUUAAAGGGCUCUCAGCCACAGGGUGACAUCUUUCUUUGAAGGAUUUUCAAAUAGUAACAAUAAAAAUAAUCAUGGAAACCACAGCUGGAUUUACUUCUGAUCAUGGUAAACUAGCUUGUAUCAGACCAACCCUCCUGCUGACAGCAGUUUAAAAGCAAUUGUUCUUUUUUCUUAAAUGUGUUUGAAUGCAUCAGAGAGAUAUCAACAUAGUCAGGACACGAGGGGCCAAGAUGCUGAAGAGAAAAGUAGAGAGAGGAGAUGAGCACCGAAGCCUUCUUAUCCCCUUGAGGCACCUGCCGAGUCCUAAGCAGAGUCCAAGUAGCUGAAAAGUUGAGUAGAGCUUUCAGAAGUCUCACAGCGGCCAGGCGUGGGGGCUCACGCCUGUAAUCCCAGCACUUUGGGAGGCCGAGACAGGUGGAUCACAAGGUCAGGAGAUCAAGACCAUCCUGGCUAACACAGUGAAACCCCGUCUCUACUAAAAAUACAAAAAAUUAGCCGCGUGUGGUGGUGGGCGCCUGUAGUCCCAGCUACUGGGGAGGCUGAGGCAGGAGAAUGGCGUGGACCUGGGAGGCGGAGCUUGCAGUGAGCCAAGAUCAUGCCACUGCACUCCAGCCUGGGAGACAGAGCGAGUCUCUGUCUCAAAAAAAAAAAAAAAAAAAAAAAAUGUCUCACAGCUUGGGGUAACAAAAAUUGGAGGUUUAGGACUCACCAUGAAAGAGGAGUCCUGGUUUUAUAAACACACACACACACGUUUUCAGCUAAAACCCCUGUAGGGCUACAACCUGAGAGUAAGGUUUAAUCACACCUAGACUAGCUCUCACAAAGCCCAGGGUCAAGUUUAUCUCAAGCCUACUUUUCCCAGAAGCAAAAGUAAAUCCUGCCUGAGGGAAGAUCCAGAGCCUUGUAUAUCUCUUCAAUUUUUCAAAAUUUUCAUUUUUCAAAAUGUCUAGCAUUUAAUGAAAAAUUACCAUGAAUAUCAAAAAAUAAGACCAACUGACUGAAAAGCAAAAGGAAAAAAAAAAGAACCAGAUAUUAGAGUUUGCAGACAUAAACUUUAAAAGCAGUACAAUUAAAUAUUGAGGAGAAUAGAUGACAAGAUUGGUAAUUUCAUUUGAGAACUGGAAACUAUUUCUAAAAAAACAAAAUUAUAGAACUGAACAUUAUGAUGGAUGAAAUUAAAAACUCAGGCUGGGCAUGGUGGCUCACAGCUGUAAUCCCAGUGCUUCAGGAGGCAGAGGCAGGAGGAUUACUUGAGGCCAGAAGUUCAAGACCAGCCUGGGCAACACAGCAAAACCCCGUCUCUACAAAACAUUUAAAAAUUGGCCAGGCAUGGUGGCACCUGCCUAUAGUCCUAGCUACUUGGGAGUCUUAGGUCCCAGGAGUUUAAGGUUGCAGUGAGCUGUGAUUGUGCUACUGCACUCCAGCCUGGGCAACAGAGCAAGACCCUGCCUCUUAAAAAAAAAAAAAAAGAUAAAAAAAUUAGAAACUGGAUUGAUUUUUAAAUGAAACAUAGGGUUAACAAAAAAACUCCAUUGAUAGAAUUAAACACAAAUGAGGGCAAGAUUAAUGGAGAAGACGAGUCAGUAGAAAAUAUCCAGGCUGAAUCACAAAGAACCAAAAGAAUGGAAAAAUACCAAGAAGGGUCUUAGAGAUAUAGUGAAAAGGUCUAACACUUAUCAUUAGAGUCCUGAACAAGAUGAGAGAGAAGAGGGUGAAUGCUGUGAUGAAAGAUAUCAUGUCACAGUUUCAAGAUGUGCUAUGAACAAGCACAAGCAGGAAAAAUACUUUAAAAGCUACAGCUAGGCACAUCAGAAUAUAACUGCUAAAACUCAAUGCAAAGAGAAAAUGUUGAGAGCAGCAAUGGGGCUGACAGAUGACUUCUCAACAGAAGCAACAGAAACCAAUGACAUCUUCAAAAGGUUGAAAGAAAAUAACUGCACUAACCUAGAAUUCCUUACUUACCAAAAAUAUCUUUCAAAAAUAAAAACAAAAUACAGACUUCUCAGCAAACAAAAAUUGAAUUUGUCACCAUAAGAUCUGUACUGAAAGGAAAAUACUAAAGGUAUUUCUAAAUAUACUAUACUAAAUAUGAUACUAUAUUGAAGAAAAAUUCUAAAGUUAGUUCCAGAAGCAGGAUCCAAAAUAGAUGUAUGGAAAUACAGAAAGGAACAAAGGGCAAUAAAAUUGAAGUAACAAAGAGCAAUAAAAAGUAACAUGUGAAUAAAUCUAAAUGAAUAUUGACUAUAGAAAGCAUUAAUAAGAAUGUCUGUUGUGGCUUAAAAUACAUAGAAAAUUGAAAUCCAUGACAAGACUACCGUAACAGGUAGAAAGGUGAAAGAAUUGUAUAGUUGUUGGAGCCAGGCACGGUGGCUCUCACCUGUAAUCCCAGCACUUUGGGAGGCUGAGGCAGGUGGAUCACUUAAGGUCAGGAGAUCGAGACGAGCCUGGACAACAUAGUGAAACUCUGUCUCUACUAAAAAUACAAAAAUCAUCAGGGUGUGGUGGUGCACACUUGCAAUUCCAGCUACUCGGGAGGCUGAGGCGGGAGAAUCACUUGAACCUGGGAGGCGGAGGUUGCAGUGAGCCAAGAUCGUACCACUGCACUCUAGCCCAGGCCACAGAGGGAGACUCCGUCUCCAAAAAAAAAAAAAAAAAAAAUUGUGUAGUCGCUGGGUUAUCCAGGAAAUGAUAGAAGUGAUCAUGUAUAAUACACUUCAGUAAGUCAAGGAUGCUUGUUAAAUCUAGGGUAAGAACUGAAAGAAAAGUAUACUUCAUAUGCUAAUAAAGGAGAAAUUACCCAAAACAAACAACCUUAAUCCAAAACAAGGAAAAAAGACAGAAAAAAGAAAAGAACACAGUAACAGAAAAACCGAUAGAAAGAAUUAUUAGUAAGAUGGUACAUUCAAACCUAAGUCUAUCAGUAAACACAUUAGAUAUAGUGUAGUAAAUACUUUGAAUUAGAAAAAAACUUAAUUUCAAAAAAGCAAAUCUUACAUGCCUACAAGGGUGAAACCUUAAAUAUAAGAAUGUGAAAAGGUCAAAAGUAAAAGGAUGAACAAAGAUAUACUACGCAAUGACUAAUCAAAAGAAAGCUAAUUUCCUCUCAGUAAGCAAGGAAUAGAGAAGAAACUUUCUCAACUUGUUAAAGAAUAUCUCAUCUAGGCAUGGUGGCUCAGGCCUGAAAUCUCAACACUCUGGAAGGCUGAGGUGGGAGGAUCAACUCCAGGAGUUCAAGAUCAGCCUGGGCAACAUAGUGAGACCCCAUCUCUACAAAAAACUAAAAAAUUAUGGCUGGAUGUGGUGGCCCAGGCCAGGCACAGUGGCUCACGCCUGUAAUCUCAGCACUUUGGGAAGCCAAGGUGGGUGGAUCACCUGAACUCAGGAGUUCAAGACCAAACUGAGCAACAUCAACAUGACAGAACCCUGUCUCUACCUUUUGGUAGCCAAGCAUGGUGGUGCAUGCCUGUGGUCCCAGCUACUCAGGAGGCUGAGGUGAGAGGAUCACUUGAGCCUGGGAGGCAGAGGUUGCAGUGAGCCAAGAUCCCACUACUCCACUCCAACCUGG
rnacentral:lncRNA from 10 species